UCCUGGCUCAGAGCGAACGCUGGCGGCAGGCUUAACACAUGCAAGUCGAGCGGGCGUAGCAAUACGUCAGCGGCAGACGGGUGAGUAACGCGUGGGAACAUACCUUUUGGUUCGGAACAACACAGGGAAACUUGUGCUAAUACCGGAUAAGCCCUUACGGGGAAAGAUUUAUCGCCGAAAGAUUGGCCCGCGUCUGAUUAGCUAGUUGGUGAGGUAAUGGCUCACCAAGGCGACGAUCAGUAGCUGGUCUGAGAGGAUGAUCAGCCACAUUGGGACUGAGACACGGCCCAAACUCCUACGGGAGGCAGCAGUGGGGAAUAUUGGACAAUGGGGGCAACCCU
rnacentral:rRNA from 1 species